rnacentral:tRNA from 1 species
UCCCGGUUGGCCAAGUGGUUUAAGGCAUCGCUCUUAUGUGGAUAUCUAAGAUAAAAUUCGUUUUAUCGCCCCAAUAGCGAGGGUCGUGAGUUCAAUCCUCACACUGGGAA